AACAGUUCAACAACUGAUCUCCACAACCUCCCACCUCAUUUCCUUUCUCAGUCCAGGUAGCAGGAAAAUGGAAAAAAAAAAUGAUUUUUUUUUUCCAAACACUUUCUCAGUUUCCCCAGUGGUCACCUCUGAAAAGGGAAAAAUGUCUGAAAAUAGGCAAAGCUGAGUAUAAACAUCAUUUAAUUCCCCCUACACAGACAGCCUCCGCUCCUGUGAGGGCGUGGGGAAAAGGGAGUGGAAGAAGGGGGCUAGGGAGGAGGAAGAGGCGGGAGGUGCGGCGGGGGCACAGGUGACGCUCCUCCCGCCUCCCUAGCAGAGCUCCAGGCGCACAUCCGCAGUCAGCCACCUCGCGCGCGCCUCCAGGAGCGAGGAUGGAGAGGCUGACCAUGACAGCUCUGGUGCUGAACACACACAACCACCUCCAGGGUACAAGUUGGCCCCAAGAGAGCUGAGACAAUAUUGGCUCCAAUUUUUAUCAUCUCAUUGAUCUCAAACCACAGACUCUGACCAGUACCAUUGGGGGCCCUCUCCUUACAGCUAUACUCCUAGGAAAG
rnacentral:sRNA from 1 species